rfam:Rattus norvegicus chromosome 1, whole genome shotgun sequence.
GGGGAUUUAGCUCAGUGGUAGAGCGCUUGCCUAGGAAGCGCAAGGCCCUGGGUUCAGUCCCCAGCCCCG